GUGAGGAAUAUUGGGCAAUGGGCGAAAGCCUGACCCAGCCACGCCGCGUGAGUGAUGAAGGCCUUCGGGUUGUAAAGCUCUGUGGGGAGGGAAGAAAAAGCGGGAGAGUAACUGCUCUCGUGUUGACGGUACCUCCUUAGCAAGCACCGGCUAACUCUGUGCCAGCAGCCGCGGUAAUACAGAGGGUGCAAACGUUGCUCGGAAUUACUGGGCGUAAAGCGCGUGUAGGCUGACAUGCAAGUCGGGUGUGAAAUCCCAGGGCUCAACCUUGGAACUGCACUCGAAACUGCACGUCUUGAGUACUGGGGAGGGAAGCGGAAUUCCGGGUGUAGAGGUGAAAUUCGUAGAUAUCCGGAGGAACACCAGUGGCGAAGGCGGCUUCCUGGACAGUAACUGACGCUGAGACGCGAAAGCGUGGGGAGCAAACAGGAUUAGAAACCCGAGUAGUCC
rnacentral:rRNA from 1 species